GGAUGUCAGGUGAUCUGGCUGCAACAUCUGUCACCCCACUGAUCUCCACGGUUGAUUUGGCUGAUUUGGCUAGCCAGGCAGGUUUCCCCUUCCUUCCUCACUGCUCCAUGUGGGUCUCUCCAGUAGCUUCCCUCUUGGUUGAAGAGUAUGUCUACCCCUGAUGGAGGAGGACCAUUUCCUUGGUCAAGGGUAUAGAAGUAUCUGUGCUCCUCUGCUAGAACCUCCAAACAAGCUCUCAGUUAAACCUUCUCAAGAUGUUUGAUGGAUAUUUUGACUGCCUGGAAAUGACAUGCAUUAUCUCA
rfam:Heterocephalus glaber contig19176, whole genome shotgun sequence.